GAUCAUGGCUCAGGAUAAACGCUGGCGGCGCACAUAAGACAUGCAAGUCGAACGGACUUAACCAUUAGUUUACUAUUGGAGCGGUUAGUGGCGGACUGGUGAGUAACACGUAAGCAACCUGCCUAUCAGAGGGGGAACAACAGUUAGAAAUGACUGCUAAUACCGCAUAUGCCUAAGUACCACAUGGUACAAUAGGGAAAGGAGUAAUCCGCUGAUAGAUGGGCUUGCGU
rnacentral:rRNA from 1 species